rnacentral:rRNA from 1 species
UACGAAGGGUGCAAGCGUUGUUCGGAUUUAUUGGGCGUAAAGCGCGCGCAGGCGGAAAAGUAAGCUAGAUGUGAAAUCUCGGGGCUCAACCUCGAAACUGCGUCUGGAACUGCUUUUCUAGAGUCUUGGAGAGGAAAGUGGAAUUUCGCAUGUAGGAGUAAAAUCCGUAGAGAUGCGAAGGAACACCGGAGGCGAAGGCGACUUUCUGGACAAGUACUGACGCUGAGGCGCGAAAGCGUGGGGAGCAAACAGG